GACGAACGCUGGCGGCGUGCUUAACACAUGCAAGUCGAACGGGUCUGCCCUGUUUUUUGCGGGGUGGGUCAGUGGCGAACGGGUGAGUAACACGUGAGUAACCUGCCCCUCACUUCUGGAUAACCGCUUGAAAGGGUGGCUAAUACGGGGUGUUCUGGCUGUGCCGCAUGGUGUGGCUGGGAAAGAUUCACUUUUGUGGUGUUUUGGUGGGGGAUGGGCUCGCGGCCUAUCAGCUUGUUGGUGGGGUGAUGGCCUGCCAAGGCUUUGACGGGUAGCCGGCCUGAGAGGGUGGGCGGUCACACUGGGACUGAGAUACGGCCCAGACUCCUGCGGGAGGCAGCAGUGGGGGGUAUUGCACAAUGGGCGGAAGCCUGAUGCAGCGACGUCGCGUGAGGGAUGGAGGCCUUCGGGUUGUGAACCUCUUUCGCAGGUGAAGAAGGUCCUGCUCUUUGUGGUGGGGUUGACGGUAGCCGGGUUAUGAAGCGCCGGCUAACUACGUG
rnacentral:rRNA from 1 species